UAGGGAAUCUUCCACAAUGGGCGCAAGCCUGAUGGAGCAACACCGCGUGAGUGAAGAAGGGUUUCGGCUCGUAAAGCUCUGUUGUUAAAGAAGAACACGUAUGAGAGUAACUGUUCAUACGUUGACGGUAUUUAACCAGAAAGUCACGGCUAACUACGUGCCN
rnacentral:rRNA from 1 species